CAUCCCAGAUACUUAGCUUUUUUGCCAAUAAUCCCACCGUCCACCCCUUUAUACUCUCAUUUUUUGUGGUAUAAAUUCAGUUUCUGCUUCUCCCUUCCUCACUAAGCAUACAUCUUCAGAUUAGAGCUGCACUUAAUAACAGAAAUGGGCGAAGAAGUUAAACAACAGGAAGCAGUUGAGGGAGAGGCGAAAGUAGUACAGUAGA